GCCUGGGUGGCUCAGUCAGUUGAGCAUCUGACUUCGGCUCAGGUCACGAUCUCACUGUCCGUGAGUUCAAGCCCCAUGUCGGGCU
rnacentral:tRNA from 1 species